rnacentral:rRNA from 1 species
CUACGGGAGGCAGCAGUAAGGAAUCUUGCACAAUGGGGGAAACCCUGAUGCAGCGACGCCGCGUGAGCGAUGAAGCCCUUCGGGGUGUAAAGCUCUUUCGGCAGGGAAGAAAAAUGACGGUACCUGCAGAAGCAGCUGCGGCUAACUACGUGCCAGCAGCCGCGGUAGUACGUAGGCAGCGAGCGUUGUUCGGAGUUACUGGGCGUAAAGGGUGCGUAGGCGGUCUCUUAAGUUUGGUGUGAAAUCUCCCGGCUCAACUGGGAGGGUGCGCCGGAUACUGAGGGACUAGAGUGCGGGAGAGGAAAGUGGAAUUCCUGGUGUAGCGGUGAAAUGCGUAGAUAUCAGGAGGAACACCGGUGGUGUAAACGGCUUUCUGGACCGUAACUGGCGCUGAGGCACGAAAGCGUGGGGAGCAAACAGGAUUAGAUACCCCUGUAGUCCC